rnacentral:sRNA from 1 species
CAGCAGCGUCCGAAGUGAUUAAAUAUGAGUAUCAUGUCUUAUAUUCCUGUAGCUACCAAGUGCCUGUACUUUACUUUAGGGCAAGCUUUUUAGAUGGGAGACCUUUAACUCUGAAGGACAUAUGGGAAGGAGUUCAUGAGUGCUAUAAGACGCGACUGCUACAGGGACCAUGGGACACUAUUACACAACAGGGCCAAAAGAGACACAUUGGCUACUUUGACAACCUUAAAGCGGACUCCAGGAAUAUCACCAACAGCAUGACCUUUGCGACCAAAUCCAGCAACCAGAACUUCAUCGUUUUCCUGGAAUAAAAUAAAAAGUUUAUUUCUGGCGUCAGUGGCGAUCACAAAAAUACUUUCAUGUGAGGAAACUCCCUUGCAUCAGAUUAAAAUGUGAGGGAAGCCACCCCAAGAACAGAAGGUACAAUAGAGUUGAAAUACUCACCUCAAUAAAGUUCAAGCAACCGUCGUUGGGUACAAAGGCUGUGAUUUUCUUGCCAUUCUUGAUCAGCUGGACCCUGACACACUUCCUAAUGGCAGAAUUUGGCUGUUUGGCUUCAACUCCUCUGAAAUACAAAAGGCAUAGCACUGUGAGCUGGCUUUCUGAAAAAGAUAAUUUUUUCACAUUAACUAGAGAACUAAUGAGAAACUGUUUCUGUCUUUUCAAUCUAACCUCAAAUGGCUGAGCUGAAGUCCUGUGAUGUCAACCUGGUUUUCUGCCAGUCUUAAUUUCAUUAGCACAAUGGGGAAAUUUCUAGACCUUUUACAGUUAUAAAAGUAGACUGGAGGGGCAGCGUGGGCCUGUAGUCCCAACUACUUGCGAGGCUGAGGUGGGAGAUCUAUGCCUAGAAGGUCAAGACCGCCAGCCUGUGUAACAAGGGACCCUAUCUCAAAAAAG